GCAGGAUACCAAGAUUUGAAUCGAUAAAGCAGUGACCCACAUGAAGACGUAUGCGGACAGGAAAAAAAGAAAACCGCUUCAGUCCUCGCCGGGAGAUAAGUCCUUAACCGCUUCUCUACAGCUUAGACUAUGGCGACUCCAGUGUCUGAAGACUCAGAAGAGACAUUCGAGGUCAAGGACAUCCUGGACUUCGGGAACGUGAGCUGAGAGACGGCUGGGAUGU